CCUCUCUUCUCUCUAAGCUCCCUUGCGCCGCCCACAGUGACACUGCACCGAAGCCCCUCUCUCUGUACCCUCAGCUCACUGCCUCAGCUCACGCCUCACGCCCUCACCUCCGACACCCUCACGGCCUCACCUCGCGGCCUCAGCUCCGAUAGCUCUCUCACCUCACGGCCUCCAGGUAGUGAAAUUCUCUCUUAUGCGAUUCACAUCCAACGGUCCAGAUGCUUAAUUUGAGCCCCUCGAAUUCCUUAUCCUAAAUAGAUCCCAUUCUGAACAGUGCACCCUCCUCAAGCUUCGGAGGAUAGCCGCCUUGAGCUUUCGUGCUGUCGCUCUGUUUCUCAAUCUUCCUUGACCCAUAUAAGCUUAAGAGCGAUUCUUAAGGUCUUGAAAUCCACGACCUCUCUUUCUUUCUCGUGAGAUCCGGUCCGGUCCCUCUUAUCUUAUCCCGACUAAAAAUCGAGUCUUUAAUUUAUUAUUAUACCCAUUCAUCCAUCUUUUUCUUAAGACUAGUUUAAUUUGUGCCAAAAAAGAUUUGUCUUUUUGAUGAUGAUAUGCUAUAAAUCCGAAUGAUUUCGUAAUUCGGCUGACACUUUUGUUGAAUUGUGGUUCUUGAUCAAAUUUUUCCUUAAGGAUUGUAUUAGUGAGCUGCCUGAUGAAAAACUCGUUUGUAUACUCUCACGCCUAACGCUAAGAGAAGCUGUGGUUACUAGUGUCCUUUCAAGAAGAGGGGAGUAUUUGUGGGCAUAAUUGCGCGUGGAGAAACUCACGGUGAACAGAUUUAUUUGUGCUGGAUGCUCACGCUGACCGAGGCCAAAAAUCACAGUUAACAGAUAUAUUGGAAGAGGAAUUGAGAGGAUCCAUUUCAUUUUUUUUUCACUCAUUCUCGUACCAUUAUUCCCUACUAGCAAGAGAAAUGGAAUUCCCUACAAGCAAGAGAAAUGGAAUUGGAGGGUUUGGGAAAGAGGAAAAGAAAGAAGGCGAGAGAAAAUAGGAGUUGAGAGAACUGGCGCUGAAACCCAAUCCGCUGCUGCUUGAAGUCGCACAUUACAGAAUCGCCUACUUCUCUCCUUCUCAGCCUUCGUCCUUCGUCCUUGAGAAGAAAUAAAAAUGAGGCUCUUAAAUGCAAAGAAGCCGCUGACGAAGGCCGCUGAGAAGGUCAUUCGAUGCAGAGAAGUAGGGGUCAAGAAAUUAAACAAGAUGCAGUCCAUCGUUGAUCUUUUGAAUUACUGGACAAAGAUCAGGAGGAUCACCGUGAGAAUUCUUGCUCAAGAUGAUCGUGUGAUCCACGGAAUCGAGCAAAUCGCUUUCAGAUACGGCAUUCAUGUGCGCCGACUCUAGCUUUCAUCAUGUUUUUCUCAGCUACAGAUUCUUGCAUUGAGCAAAGAUAAUGUGCAGGAUAAAAUAAAGCUUCGAUUGUUUACUGGAUUAAAGAAUCUUAAGAAAUUGGUAUUAGGAUGAUGAAAGUCUCCUCCUUUUCACUCCCUUGGUAGAGGCAUGCCCUUACUUGCAAAUAUUUGUGUUCAAGAUAAUGUGGACUAGCCCUCUAAAUAAGUAGAGAAGAGUGAUAAAAGCUGUCAAAUGCCCGCAUUAUCAUCUCAAAGUGGUGGAAAUAGGUGGAUAUUAUUGUGGUAGUAGUGAUUUUGGACUUGCCAUGUACUUCAUUGAUAAUGCUACGAUACUUAAAAAAUUCAUAAUUGAUCCUCAAUACCAAUGUCAGUGGCAUUCAAUAUCAAGAAUUGAAAUUAAGGAAGAUCAAGAGCUGGAACAAACUAGAAGGCAUCGUGCUAGGCGGCAGCUUGAGUCAAAAGUACCUCCAAGAGUCAAGUUGGAGAUCCUUUAAUCUAAAUGCACAUUGCAUUUAAGACGCCAACUAUGUAUUGAUUCUCCUCCUCCCCCUCUUUUGGCCAUUAUUAUAUGACGCUCAAAAUUACUAAAGGAUUAUAAUUUCUUUUUUUCUCUCUCUAGUUAAAAAGAGGGGGAAAAAAAAAAGAAAAAAGAGAAAAAGAUAAUGACUAUUGUAUUGGUAAUUUGAAAUAAUUAAAAAUUCCAAGGUGUGCUUGCUGAGAUUUCAUAUUAGCUACUCUUAUAAUAUAAUGGAAUGCAAGUCUUAUUUUUAGUGCUAAGUAAGACUUGUUCUACUUAUGAUUAGCAUAAAUGGGAAUUGGACUAUCAUUAUAAUUUCUCAUAUGCUGUCCAAAUCUGUAAAUGUAUCUUUCUCUGGUACUAUAUAUUAUGUAAUUCUCUGUUUUUCUUC